rnacentral:rRNA from 1 species
GCAUAUCAAUAAGCGGAGGAAAAGAAACCAACAGGGAUUCCCCUAGUAACGGCGAGUGAAGCGGGAACAGCUCAAAUUUGAAAUCUGGCCCUCGGGUCCGAGUUGUAAUUUGUAGAGGAUGCUUUUGGUGCGGUGCCUUCCGAGUUCCCUGGAACGGGACGCCUUAGAGGGUGAGAGCCCCGUACGGUUGGACGCCUAGCCUCUGUAAAGCUCCUUCGACGAGUCGAGUAGUUUGGGAAUGCUGCUCUAAAUGGGAGGUAUAUUUCUUCUAAAGCUAAAUACUGGCCAGAGACCGAUAGCGCACAAGUAGAGUGAUCGAAAGAUGAAAAGCACUUUGAAAAGAGGGUUAAAUAGCACGUGAAAUUGUUGAAAGGGAAGCGUUUAUCACCAGACUUUUUCUGGGGGGAUCAUCCGGUGUUCUCACCGGUGCACUUCCCCCAGUUGAGGCCAGCAUCGGUUUUCGGAGGGGGAUAAAAGCUUCGGGAAUGUGGCUCCCUCGGGAGUGUUAUAGCCCGUUGCAUAAUACCCUUCUGGGGACCGAGGUUCGCGCAUCUGCAAGGAUGCUGGCAUAAUGGUGAUCAACGACCCGUCUUGAAACACGGACCAAGGAGUCGAACAUUUAUGCGAGUGUUUGGGUGUCAAACCCUCACGCGUAAUGAAAGUGAACGGAGGUGAGAGCCCUUACGGGUGCAUCAUCGACCGAUCCUGAUGUCUUCGGAUGGAUUUGAGUAAGAGCAUAACUGUUCGGACCCGAAAGAUGGUGAACUAUGCGUGGAUAGGGUGAAGCCAGGAGAAAUCCUGGUGGAGGCUCGCAGCGGUUCUGACGUGCAAAUCGAUCGUCAAAUCUGCGCAUGGGGGCGAAAGACUAAUCGAACCAUCUAGUAGCUGGUUACCGCCGA